rnacentral:lncRNA from 1 species
UGGUGAUUGGAGUGCUUAUGAUGGUGAUGGUAUGUUCACUGUAGUGUAGAUUGCUGACACUGCACAUGUAUUUUUAUAUACAUUUUAAUAAGCUUUAAAGGAAAACUAAUUUGAUCGAAUGAAGACAUUUUGUUAAUGUUACAUGUUUUAAGUUAUUUAAUGUUGCACAUAAAGUAGCAAGUCAAUCUUUGAGUUAAAGGCCCAGUGCAGUCAAAAUUCAGUUUUUCUGUGUUUUAUAUUAUAUUGUACAACAGUUGAUGAAACUAACACUGUAAAAGUGUGAAAAAAUGUCAUCAGUGUUAUUUCCUGAUAGUUGCUGGUUUGUAAUCAGCAGGUUUGCAUGGCCGGGAGUUUUGGCUUUCCAUGGUGACAUCACCAUGCUAUAAUUGGUUCGUAGACAAAUAACAAAGACAGUUCCAAACAUCUCUGCCAAUAACAGCUAGUUUUCACUUUUCCCCUCCCAUCUCAGACCAGUCCCAGACAGUCUUAGCAAAAUUCUUGCUUGAGAAAUAUGUUUUUGCUAAAAAGCAUUUUUUGCCAAUUUUAAUGGAAAUCUAUUACAGUGAGGUACUUAUUUGCUACCCAGUAAUGAUUUGAUAUUGUUAUCAAAACAACUGCAUUGGGGCUUCAUAUAUACAUCGAUUUCACGAGUUGUGGGCACCCUCCUCAGGCUCAUCAGUGUAACAACUGUUGCAUUUUUUGUAACUUAAAACACAUUUUUAUACUAUUGUAUGCUAAUGCCAUCCCAACCAAAAUUACAAAACAGAACUAUUUUGAUAUGAACAGUUUUAUUUCCUUAUUGUAAAUACUGCAAUUGGUGGAAUGCUUUUAUAACACAAUGAAAAUCUAUCUUACAUAUGGAGAGGUGGUAUGAUGACAAAAGUUAACCAACUGAAUUGUGUUUUCUGUCCAAAAUAUCUAUAUGUGAAUACUCUCUCACAAGAGCUUUCCACUAUACUCACAGCAAGAUAAUUUGAGUUUGGAUUAUAUUAGGAUCCCCAUUAGCUGAUGCCAUGACGUCGGCUAAUCUUCCUGGUGUCCAGCAUUAUAACUAAAAUGACUUUACAAAUAAAAUUACAAAAGAGAUGUAUAAAGAGAAGUUUGAUCUUCCAAUCUUAAUGUUAUCUCAGACCAUGUUUAGUUGCCUUUUAGUGCUUCCCAAGUACACUAAACUUGAAUAGCUUAUGACACAUGGUUUAUAAGUGUUCCUACAUACUGUCAAGUGACAUAGGAAAACUUUUCACUACACUAUAAACAACACGUUGCACUUCUUCACGACCAAAAAACAACAUUUACAAACUAUUUGGUAUCCCAAAUAGUUGGUUGCGAUGUUUCGACGGCCAGCAAUGUUUACAGUAGAUGUAUAUUCCAAGCAUUGCUGAAACUGCAACCAAGAAAGUACUUGUGAAUGAUUACUGUGAUACUGCACAUCUUGUACACAGCAUUAUUUGUAGUAGUUAUAUACCCUUUUCACACUACUGAGCCAAGUCAAGCUGUACUGCGCUGGCAUGGUUACGCAUCCACCAAUAAAAUAUCUGAGCCAGCACAGUACGGUCUGACUCAGCAAAGUAGUGUAAAAAUAAAACAACUUCAAAUGACAGUUAUGCCUAAGUAAAUAGGAGUUUCUGUUCUGCCUCUGCGGAGGAGCAGUAAUGAGAAACGUGGCUGUUAUAUCUCUCUCCUUCAUCCCUCUACCACCACUCCCUCCGCUGCCUCCUCUUUCUCUACCUCCUCCACCACCUCAACCACCUCCUCUUUCUUCAACACCUCCUCUUUCUCUACCUCCGCCAACACCUCCACUUCCCCCUCAGGCUCGGGGUAAAGGCUGGACACGUUCCCGUCAUUCCAGGUCACCACAAUGUCCCCCGGUUUGAGCCCCUCUACCUCCCCGUUGUCCUGGAGGGGCUUGGCCUGGCUCACUGGGAUCUCAGAUUGGUUCAUACUGACCUGGACAGAAGUGCUGUUGACGGGUUUGACCUCUGAGUUAGUUCUUUGACCUCUAACUUCCGUGACGAUGACCUGUAGUUCUUCCGCCUCCGGCUUCAUGGCCAGAGCCGCCGCCUUGUACUUGGCUAUCUUACUCCUGUUUCUGUGUGGAGGAUGAUGGGAAAUGUAGUCACUGUGGUGUAAAUGAAGAUGGCCAGACCAGCACGCACAAAUAUGGCGAUUGCUUUUGUUUUCUUCCAUAACAGAUCCUGUAUUUAGGUUCCACAGAGCCUUUGGUUCCAUCCCAAAUGGAACCCUAUUCCAUACAUAGUGCACUACUUUUGACCAGGGGCCAUAAGGCUAGGGUGUUAUUUGGGAUGAACACUUUGUUUGGAUCAUUUACUGUUGUUGACCAUAAGUAUCUUCACCACACCAUGUUUCAUAAUUGAAGACACAUGGGAUAUUUCUUGAUUAGAAUUACAGUGUAUUACAUUAGUAUUUUUGAGUUGAGUGGGUAGACAUUAGUCUACUUAAGUUGAGUUAGUGUC